GAAAAAACUGGUUUCCAUAUGAUCACCAAAGUUAAGCAUCAUUGAACCUGGUCAGUACAUAGAUGGGUGAACACUUGUGAAUACCAGGUGCUGUAA